AUUCCAGCUCCAAUAGCGUAUAUUAAAGUUGUUGCAGUUAAAAAGCUCGUAGUUGGAUGUCUGAUUGAGACAUCAGGUCGGGUCCGAGAGGAUCAUGUACUUUGAUUUGUUUUGAUCAUCCUUGGGGAGAGCAAUUCUGGCAUUAAGUUGUCGGGGUUGGGAUCCUCAUCGUUUACUGUGAAAAAAUUAGAGUGUUCAAAGCAGGCCUCGGCCUCUGAAUACAUUAGCAUGGAAUAAUAAGAUAGGACUUUGGUGGUCUAUUUUGUUGGUUUGCACGCCAAAGUAAUGAUUAAUAGGGAUAGUUGGGGGUAUUCGUAUUCAAUUGUCAGAGGUGAAAUUCUUGGAUUUAUGGAAGACGAACUACUGCGAAAGCAUUUACCAAGGAUGUUUUCAUUA
rnacentral:rRNA from 1 species